CUGGAAACCGGCCUCUCAGAUUCCCCUUACCUGAUUCAAAGAGCCUCUUUGGCCUAAAAGCCAACCCUGGCAGUGACCCGCACGCACACACGCACACACACACACACACACGCGCACACACCGACAGCAGCCUCGGAGGUCACUCUGGACGGAUUCCCUACACCACAGGAGAGGCAGCACCCAGCCCAGCCAAGCCCUGCCCCUCUCCUCUCCCGCCUCGCCUCGAACAGUCCCUUCCUCCUCCCGGUGCCUCCUCGCCUGCACAGGCUCCCACCACAGAUCCCGACCGGCCUCCGGGUGCCUCCGGGUUUCCCCUCCCUACCCAACCCCCGCCUUCAACUGCAGCCCCGCGGUGCGCGGCGAGGACGUUUCCACCAGCGACAGCCUGGCCUCCAAGGGUGCACCUGGUACCGCGCGGGUGUCCCGCGGCACACCCUCUGGGGGUGCGAGGGCUCUCGGUGGCCUCCACAGAGGACGUGAAGGGCCCGUUUCCCGGAACGGCCGUGCCGCUCAGCCGCUCAGCCGCGCGCGGGACUGGGAGCCGCUUCAUUGACUCGUCUGCCCGGAGGAUCCCGCUGCUUCCUCACAAACAUCCUGACCAUGACCCACAUGUGACACAGCUCAGCCAGUAGAUUGAGGCUUCCUGAGCAUAGAAGAGGAGGCUUACGGACCACCAUACCACUGCUCCCAGUGCAGAAGAGAUCAUAGUGCCAUGAUAUUGGAGAUCAAUACCAAAAGAAACCGCAAGAAUUUCAUAAAGACAGGGAAAUUGAACAACACACUUCUGAAUAACCAAUGGGUCAAAGAGGAAAUUAAAAAAGAAAUCAGACAGUUCCUUCAAUUACAGGACAAUGACAAUAAAACAUAUCAGAAUCUAUGGGACACAAUGAAAGCAGUAUUACAUGUGAAAUUCACAGCAGUGAAUACUCAUAUUAGGAAAACAGAGCGACCCAUUUAAACAACCUGCUGCUGAACCUCAAGCUUCUAGAAAAAGAUGAGCAGGACAAACCCAAAGCUCAUACAGGGGAGGAAAUUAUAAAGAUCAGAGCAGAAAUCAAUCCAAUGGAGACUAAGAGAACAAUACAAAAAAAAUCAACGAAGCCAAGAGUUGGUUUUUCGAAAGAAUAAAUAAAACUGACAAACCCUUAGCCAACUUUAUCAGAAAAAGGAAAGAAAAGGCCCAAAUCUAUGCAAUUAGGAAUGAAAAGGGUGAAAUUACAAUGGACCCAGCAGAAAUCCAGAGGAUCAUCAAUACCUACUUCCAGAACCUAUACGCCAAUAAGAUGGAAAACAGAAGAAAUGGAC
ensembl:lncRNA